GAUGAACGCUAGCUACAGGCUUAACACAUGCAAGUCGAGGGGUAGCACAGUGUAGCAAUACAUGGGUGGCGACCGGCGCACGGGUGCGUAACGCGUAUCCAACCUUCCCGAUACUCAGGGAUAGCCUUCCGAAAGGGAGAUUAAUACCUGAUGGUGUUCAAAUUCCGCAUGUUAUUUGAACUAAAGAUUUAUCGGUAUCGGAUGGGGAUGCGUGACAUUAGAUAGUAGGCGGGGUAACGGCCCACCUAGUCUACGAUGUCUAGGGGUUCUGAGAGGAAGGUCCCCCACACUGGAACUGAGACACGGUCCAGAAUCCUACGGGAGGCAGCAGUGAGGAAUAUUGGUCAAUGGUCGGAAGACUGAACCAGCCAAGUAGCGUGAAGGAUGAAGGUUCUAUGGAUUGUAAACUUCUUUUAUACGGGAAUAAAACCUCCCACGUGUGGGAGCUUGUAUGUACCGUAUGAAUAAGCAUCGGCUAACUCCGUGCCAGCAGCCGCGGUAAUAC
rnacentral:rRNA from 1 species